rnacentral:tRNA from 1 species
AAAUAAGAAACAAAAUUUUGUAUUUAGUUUCGACCUAAUCUUUGAUGUUAAUUCAUCCUUAUUUU